UAGGGAAUCUUCGGCAAUGGGGGGAACCCUGACCGAGCAACGCCGCGUGAGUGAAGAAGGUUUUCGGAUCGUAAAGCUCUGUUGUUAAGGAAGAACGAGUGUGAGAAUGGAAAGUUCAUACUGUGACGGUACUUAACCAGAAAGGGACGGCUAACUACGUGCCAGCAGCCGCGGUAAUACGUAGGUCCCGAGCGUUGUCCGGAUUUAUUGGGCGUAAAGCGAGCGCAGGCGGUUAGAUAAGUCUGAAGUUAAAGGCAGUGGCUCAACCAUUGUAGGCUUUAGAAACUGUUUAACUUGAGUGCAGAAGGGGAGAGUGGAAUUCCAUGUGUAGCGGUGAAAUGCGUAGAUAUAUGGAGGAACACCGGUGGCGAAAGCGGCUCUCUGGUCUGUAACUGACGCUGAGGCUCGAAAGCGUGGGGAGCGAACAGG
rnacentral:rRNA from 1 species